rnacentral:lncRNA from 1 species
CACUUUUCUAGCUCGCCACCACCGCACUUAUGAAGCCAACCAUCACCGUCUUCACGAUUCAAGCAGUCAGUAGCCAGCCACCAUCAUCACUUACUCAUAAUUCAAGUAUCCACCACCAUUAACCACUACUCGUCUCCUGCCAUCAUUUGUCGUUAUUGUCACGCCAGUGGAGGUGAGUAUUACUGAGUUGUGUUCAAUUUGUUUUAUUAUUUACUAUUGUUUGAUAUUUUUUCCCUUAAUCAUGUCUUUUUAUUUGUGAUUACAAGAUUAAGAUAAGUUUAUUGAAACUUUGAUUUUUGAAACUGGUUUUGGGAAUUCUUUUUCACAGGAAUAAUUCAAUUCGAUUUUAUAAAUCAAUAUCGAACUAAAUAAAUAAAAUAGGUGAAUGGUAUCAUUCUUUGUUCUAUAGGUAUUUGUUAAUCUAUUUAAUUAUUUAGUUAAAAUUAACAUAAUAGGCAUCAAUUAUUAAACAUAAUAGGCAUCAAUUAUUACAUCGCCAUCAAUCCAUUCUCCUGGCAUAAAAACGUGUUGCUUUGAGUUGUACUACUGUGUCCUUUAUCCACCAUGACUUCCUUUUUACCAUGAAAGACAAUGUCAUUUCAACAAAUAUUACCAAAAUAAGGAUAUUUAUACAUAAUUUACAAAUACACUAGUUGUAAAAACAUUUCAUAUAUAUCAGAUCAUAUAUUUCAUUUAAUUUGUCAUAAAAAAGGUAAAGAAUAAGUCGUUUUGCAACCUUGAAAAGUGGGGUGGGAAUAAUGAACAGCCAGCAAAGAAUCACAGUUUAGCAAAUUUACAAAUGACAUUCUUUUCUAGAGAAUGUCGAAUAUCCCCAGCCUAUGAAUAACACAAAAUACAUUUUACAUUAGUAUAGUAAUGUCACCAAGUGCAAUAAAACGGUAAAUACAUAAAGCAAUUGUAACAAAUACACGUCACUACCUUAUAUUCCUUAGGAAUCACUUUUGAUGUUUCUUGGUCCAUUUCCAAUUAUUUUGAUUGAAAUGUAUCAUUGCUUUCACCAUCCAAAGACCCUUCUAAUCUAUAUAACAAAUCAUGUAACCGCCUUUCCUUUGAGUUUUAGAUGGAAUCAUCAUAAGGACUAGCUCGACGACAUGAAAUUGAACCUUCAGUCGAUGUGAUUUACACAACUAAAGUGCCACCAUUUUUUUCUUGCAAACAAACAAAAUCGGGGAAUGGAUUUUGAAUGUCACAUGUGCUGAGAUGAUUGACAGGAGAUGAAGAUGGCCAUUGGUUUUCCUUAUAUGUAAUACUUCAUUUAGAAGUGUAGUUUGAUCAGCCAUGCCUCAUCAACCUUAAGGGUCAAUAUCCUAGAUGCAAAAUAUUACUUCUUAAUUAUUUCUUCACUAUUAGUAUACCCAACACUGUUUUGCUGAAAGAGUCCGCUAGUGUCAACAUAAUGCAUCUUGACCUAUUUAAUCACAAAAUGAAUUACAUCAAAUAACUAGGAAAAUGUCAAUAUGUCAAAUUAGGAAAAAAUUAUAAUGAAGUAUGAAUUUUUACAGUAUUGAUACUGUUUUUUCCUUUUUUUUUUUUAAUUGUCCAUUGGAUUUAAGGGUCAAUAUCUCUAUCCUUCAUUUUAAUGAAUGAGAACUAGUUAUAUGGGUAAUAAGUAACCACCUUAUCUUUUUAAUAAUUAAAAACAAAUUAUUCCUUUAAUUAUUUGUAGAAAUUUAUUUUAGAUCAUUGUAAAAAAAAAAAAUACUACCAGGUGAAGAUAAUUCGUAUAAAUUGAAAUAUAAAAUUGUUUAACUUAAAAGUUUUUUUUUUCAAAUUUUUUUUUAUAACAAACUCAAAAAUGUAUUAAUGAAGAAGAUGAAAAACAUAAACUGAACCAGCUGUCCACUUAGAAAACAAAGACUAGCACUAGUUGUGGCAACAAAGGUGUACCCAAUCACUACUAAAGUGUUUUUUUUUUUUUUAAUUUUUACUUGUAUUUUUUUUAAACAUCAACUAUAUGAAUAUAUAAUAGAUUUUAGUUUUAGAUAUUGUAAUUUAAAAACUAAAUGCGAAAUUAAACAUGAGUGAUAUAUCAAGAAAUUUAUGAUAAUCUAUUAGCUUAUUUGAAAUAAAAUUAUGAAUGAAUUGACAUAGAGAAUGAAUUCAUGUAUGUAAUCUCUAAUGCAAAUAAUAUUCUAUUUUAAAAAAUAUUAAGCGCCCUACAAGAAAAGAUUACCUUAUCACUUCUAAUCCCUCCUAUAAAUCUAAGCCACUUCAUGAACUUUCUGAUCUUCGAUUCAUUCCAGAAUGCGAUAGGAAGCAUAUUCGUAUCAGGUUGAAUGUUGUCAUAUACAACAUUUUGGAGAUAAAAGAUCUGCAUGAACAAGUUAUAAUUAAGAAAAUAGUAUUAUUGAUACUAUUCAUGGUAAGAAUAUACUCAGCUUUAGUUACAGAAACCACGUCACCUGUAAGAAGUGCACACAACCUCUAAUGUAUGCUGCCUGUUGAUUCUUAAAUCUACAAAUAGACUUCACCAUCCAAUUAUAGCAGAACGUAGCUGAAUUAAGUGAUUUGAUUGUGCUGAUAUCCAUAAUGGGAUGCAAGAACAUUGGUGAAAUAUAACAUUCGACAUAAUAAUGUUGCUAGAGCAAAUAAGGUAAAUACAACCUACGACAACUUUUUGUAAGAAUAUCAACAUCGUGAACAGUUGCAAGCAUUAAUAGGCUUGAUAAAUAGCCUAAGUGUGGGCAUGUUUCAAAAUAACUUUAAAUGUUUCAUACAAUUGCAAUUACAAAUACUAUAGAUAAAAUGAGGGCUACAGACAAAGAUUUAUGAUUAAAAAGACAAUCAAUGUAAGAAAUUACAUUCACUAUAAUUGAGCUAUUCACAAACCUUGAAAAUCUUGUUGGCUUCAUCUAAUCGCUCUAUCAGUUCCUUAAGUGUGCGGAUGUGAAUCCCUUUAACUAAUGGCAAGAAAAUAGGUCGCAGUUCAACAAUAUUUUCACUUGCACUAUUAGUCUGAAUAGGCAUGCCUCCAUCUCUUACACUCAUGAUUUUCGAAAAUAUUUUGGGAGAAAGCUUCACUUUCUAACCAUGAAGUUCAAUUAUGCUCUGUUUAAGUUUAAGUUGAUUAAUUAACCAAUGCCAUAACUUCCUCUUUAGCUGAAUACAUUUGAGUUCAAGCAGGCUUUCAAAUCCUAUUUCUCUUGUUGCUUUUUUCUUCUCUUUCGAAAGAUUCUUAACCAGUGAACAAAACCACUCAGGUACGCACUUAGUUUCCACUAUUUUAUUGUUACCAGAAUGUAAGUUUGAGUAACCCAUGCUUUCAUCUCUCCUUUUGUACCUUGAAGUUCAGGUGGAAGUUCUUUGUAGGUUUUUCCAAUAUGUUUUCUUAACUGUCAAAAAAGUAAUGAAUAUGUAUUAAAACAUUAAAAACCCACAAAUAAUAUUUGUACAUGCUACAAUGAAUCAAAAUACUAACCCCAAUAGUGACGGACAAAUCUGAGUUUUGACUUCUCAAACGCUUAACUUCUUUAUUGCUACAAGAGCAUAACAUCUAAUUAGUGUUAUAUAAUUUAUCCAUGUUUCUUUCCCGAGAGGUAAGUCGCAAUGACUGCUCACAAGUAAGAGACAAAUCUGUAAGUUGAAGAUGUUGGAACUGCAUCCUAACCAUCUACUUUUACAAUAAGAGCAUUUUUUUCUAUAAGCCCACUGAUAGUCGUUUACGCUUCCGUUGGUGAUUGUCCAUUUCUAUCCUUCCAAAAGAAAAUUUUCAAAUAAUUAAAUAAAGGACAAUUAUUCCAUCAGUAUCUAUUAAAUUUCAAAAAAAUGAGUUUGCCUUACCUACUAUUCAAAGUCACUAGAAGCAGGUCAAGGAUCCUGCUAACAUCAACCAAAAUAUUGUAAUGCAUCAAAAGAAAUAUAAAGCCUUACUUGAAAGGAUAAAGUUUUAAAUCAGCAGCUUCAGGCUAAAAAAUUGAGAUGUUCUGAUGAGUUGAAUAGAUUUAAUACCUAAUAAUGCAUCAUUAAAUAAAAACUAAUCAGUAGUUGUUUAAUACAAGUUUUAGUCACAAGUUUUGGUCAAUAAGUUCACAACUUCUAGGAAGAAGUUAUUCAUAUGCUAAAGGUCAUUUUUUUUCAAAAUAUUGUCAUUCCUAUCAGCUAUGUACACUUUUAUCUAGGCAUAAUUUUUUUCAGUUAAGUGGGAUCUAUGUAAUAACGGCAUGAUGUUUCUAUUUCUUGUGGUUUUCUUGUAUAUAAUGGAAAAAGUUGCUCAUUUUCAGCUGCUUGAUGCUCAAUAAUGUAACUUUUUUUUCCAAUUUCUGAUUUCUUCCUUUUUGUGAACAAACGAAUCUCAAGAUAAAAUAUUGCGGUAUGAAUUAAUUAUAGCUCUAUCUAUUCAAAAACAAAAAUAAAAAAAUGAAA